rnacentral:rRNA from 1 species
GUCUCUGGCCAUGGCACCCUAAACAAGCUCAAUCCCAUUCGAUCUUGGAAGCUAAGCAGGGUCAGGCCUGAAUGGGAGUACUUGAAUGGGAGACCACCUAGGAAUACCAGAAGCUAUUUAUG